GACGAACGCUGGCGGCGUGCCUAAUACAUGCAAGUUGAGCGCUGAAGGUUGGUACUUGUACCAACUGGAUGAGCAGCGAACGGGUGAGUAACGCGUGGGGAAUCUGCCUUUGAGCGGGGGACAACAUUUGGAAACGAAUGCUAAUACCGCAUAAAAACUUUAAACACAAGUUUUAAGUUUGAAAGAUGCAAUUGCAUCACUCAAAGAUGAUUCCGCGUUGUAUUAGCUAGUUGGUGAGGUAAAGGCUCACCAAGGCGAUGAUACAUAGCCGACCUGAGAGGGUGAUCGGCCACAUUGGGACUGAGACACGGCCCAAACUCCUACGGGAGGCAGCAGUAGGGAAUCGUCGGAAAUGGACGAAAGUCUGACCGAGCAACGCCGCGUGAGUGAAGAAGGUUUUCGGAUCGUAAAACUCUGUUGGUAGAGAAGAACGUUGGUGAGAGUGGAAAGCUCAUCAAGUGACGGUAACUACCCAGAAAGGGACGGCUAACUACGUG
rnacentral:rRNA from 1 species